rfam:Lysinibacillus xylanilyticus strain DSM 23493 Scaffold4, whole genome shotgun sequence.
AGUAGGGGAACGAAGGCUAAGAGCAUCACAUCCUAUGAUAACGCCUUCGUGACCAACAUCGUGUUGU